rnacentral:rRNA from 1 species
UCGAGAAUCUUGGGCAAUGCGCGAAAGCGUGACCCAGCAAUGCCGCGUGCAUGAUGAAGGCCCUCGGGUCGUAAAAUGCUGUCUCCCGUGACGAAUAAUGACGGUAGCGGGGAAGGAAGCCACGGCUAACUACGUGCCAGCAGCCGCGGUAAUACGUAGGUGGCGAGCGUUGUUCGGAUUUAUUGGGCGUAAAGGGUCUGUAGGAGGUUUGUUAAAUACGAGGUGAAAUCCGGGGGCUCAACUUCCGAAUUGCCUUGUAGACUGAUGAACUAGAGUACUGGAGAGGUAAGCGGAAUACCAGGUGUAGCGGUGGAAUGCGUAGAUAUCUGGUAGAACACCAAUAGCGAAGGCAGCUUGCUGGACAGAAACUGACUCUGAAAGACGAAAGCAUGGGGAGCAAACAGGAUUAGAUACCCUGGUAGU